GCAAGAAAUCGGGCUGGUGUGAAUCGCAGCCUGUCGGGCUCCUCUGCCUUUGGGUAGAAGGAGCUUGACAUUGUUUUUAUGUGCAGUUUUUCGUUUUUUUAUUGUGCUUUUGUUAGUUUUUCGCUUAGUUUGUGUGGGUUUGCUUGGUAAUGUUUUUGGUUGUCAAUGCUGAGAGGAGGACCGGUGAUGUAUUCGAUGCCGAAACUCGUGCGGUUCCAUUGAUUGCCUCAUAACUAUACGGGACUCAAAGUGUCAUGGCCGGUCUGUUUUUUAUUUCUGUUAUCGAUGGCCAUUGAAGCAGCUUGUGGCAAUAAUUGGUGCUUGUCUUGUGCAGCCGAAAUUUAUUCGAUUUGAUGAUUGAUUGAUUUUGUUCUGUUGUUUUUUCUUUAUUUUCCUUCUCUUUGCAUGCAAGUCAAUGGUUUAUUAUCUUUUUCCAGCUGUUUCGGAUUUGAAGUGUCUUUUCGAAAUUCACCGAGAGUCAAUGAGUGGUGGCUCUCAUUUCCAAUUCAGAUUUGCACAGCAUUUCGCGAAUGGUGGAAAGUUAGUUAUGGGCCGCUAUUUACUAAGUCGUGGGAUAUUUAGGGGCGCAGAAGAACCAACAUACACUUGCUCUGUGUGCAGCUACCAAGCAUUGUAUAUCAACUUCGGAAAACAUCAGCGAUCUUACUCAUUAUGCUCCUCAUUGGAACUACAAUGGCAGUAGAAAGAAGCCUGUGAGUCGAGAAGUGGCACACUGGCACUGGAGGAGCUUCUUCAAGCGAGAAUAAUAAUUUGGAGAAGAAAGGAUGGGCUUCGGCAGACAGCUUCUGAAGAGGGGAAAAAAACGGCUUCUCAAACAGCCCACUGCUUACUGGCCUAUCUGAGAUCAUUUCCACAACUUGUAGCUUGGGCUUAUGCUCUUCCUCUUGCUAGCAUAAAGCAGGAUAGGGUCCCUAUUUACA